AUUGAACGCUGGCGGCAGGCCUAACACAUGCAAUUAGAACGAGUGUCGGACGGGUGAGUAAUGUCUGGGAAACUGCCUGAUGGAGGGGGAUAACUACUGGAAACGGUAGCUAAUACCGCAUACCAUCAGAUGUGCCCAGAUGGGAUUGCUUGUUGGUGGGGUAACGGCUCACCAGUCGACGAUCCCUAGCUGUCUGAGUGGAUGACCUUGUUUGGGGCGAAACGGCUCACAAGGGCGACGAUCCCUAUCUGGACUGAGAGGAUGACAAGCCACACGGGAACUGAAAAGGCAGCAGUGGGGAAUAUUGCACAAUGGGCGCAAGCCUGAUGCAGACGUGCCGCGUGUAUGAAGAAGGCCUUCGGGUUGUAAAGUACUUUCAGCGGGGAGGAAGGUGUUGUGUUAAUAACCGCAGCAAUUGACGUUACCCGCAGAAGAAGCGCCGGUAACUCUGCCAGCAGCCGCGGUAAUUC
rnacentral:rRNA from 1 species